UACGAAGGGGGCUAGCGUUGUUCGGAAUUACUGGGCGUAAAGCGCAUGUUGGCGGGUCGUUAAUUUGGGGGUGAAAGCCCAGAGCUCAACUCUGGAACUGCCUUCGAUACUGGCGACCUGGACCCAAUGAGAGGCGAGUGGAAUUGCGAGUGUAGAGGUGAAAUUCGUAGAUAUUCGCAGGAACACCAGUGGCGAAGGCGGCUCGCUGGACCUUUGGUGACGCUGAGAUGCGAAAGCGUGGGGAGCAAACAGG
rnacentral:rRNA from 1 species